rnacentral:pre_miRNA from 1 species
AUCACCUGGGGAUCUUGCUAAAAUGCAGCUUCUGAUUCAGUAGAUCUAUAAUGAGGCCUGAGAUUCUGCAUUUCUAACAAGGUCCUAGGGGAUACCAC